UUAGCGUUAGCAUUAGCCUGGCUAACUAGCUAGCGUUAGUUUUGCUUGUUGAGUUUAUUCAUAUCGGAAGCAGGAUAUUAGAUUGUACAAACAGUAUAACUGAUGUAAGAACAGAUUAAACCUCCAGGUUUUAUCUACAAUGUCUCCUAAUGAACGGUCCCUGUCUAUACAGUAAUUGUUACAGUCAAGUUCAGAGGAAGAAGACGUUUUACUUUAAUCUGCCACUUUCACCUGGAUACUGCUUCUGGAAACUUCGACUAUCUACUAACAAGACCUGGUCGUACUCGCUGAGCGACGCCAGGAAGAUGAGCGAGGUGACGUUUUCAAAACAGUGAAUCCACUUCCUGCGCUCCGACUUCUGACCGCCCACAUCCACAAUCCUGCCAGAGAGGAGGAAGAGAAAGGAAAGCUGGAUGUGGCUUUAUGAGCUGCUGCUGUCUCGUUCGCAGGCUGGGCGUAGCUGUGUGCAUGACACAUAGGUAUUACCAUCGUUCAUUUAUCUGUCAGCUGUUCCGGAGCGCAGAGCCAAAACAAACCUUCUCUUUACUUUAGUUUGUUUGAAUUGAUAGUUAUCCCUAGUCAUUUAAGAGCAGGUGUAAUUUAAUUUAGGAACACAUGAAGAACUUUGAUCUCUUGUCUGCUCAGCUGGAGUCAGUUCCCUCUCUGGUUUCAGAAAGAAACGACACGGGUUAGAAAUAAACGUUCCCCUGAAGAGACUUUAAUCUCCAUCAGAAAUCUGAUCCUGUGGCAGACAAAGCUUCUGCGUGAGUCAACAGUGAGUUUUUCCUCUAUGCAGAGAAUAGUGCAGAGUGAGCAGCAGGAAGAGGACGAGAGGAGACUUUGUCCCCUGUCUCCGGCUGCUGUGGGAAACAGAUGAUGAUCAAUGAUUAACGCGGGGAUGAACUGGAGGUGAUGGAGCACCUCCGUCUCUUCAUGUUUUCUCUCUUCGAACUAUGAAUUCACUUCUACGAAUGGUUCCCAUCCUUUAUCAGGCUUGAGACCUACAUCUCAGAGCAUAUUAUACUUUAUAUAGCAGAUUCAGGUUAAUAUACAACAUCUAAUCCAACACAGAGUAUUUGGAGUAUUUAGUCUACUUUUAAUGAGGACUUUAAAUGAAUUGUGUUUUACUGAACCCACCUCCUGCAACUACAUCUCACGUCCACAAGAUGUCACCUGACUCUGCAGUAUUUUCUGGUAGCCUAAGAUUUAAAUACAGAGAGGAAACAUGGGGGAAAACAAUUUGACUUUACUUCGGUCAUAAUCCCCAUCAGAUAAAAGUGGCAUAUCAAAAGGAUAAAUAACAAGUCCUUACCUGACAUAGAAGAGAAGUUGGCUUAGUUAAUAAAAAGAAAGUACAAUUUAAACAAGCAUUUUACAGUUGUAUUCACAUUUUCAAAACAUCUUUACUGCAGUGGUUGAAAGUAGCCUAAAAUAAAGUAGUAAUGAUUUACUUGAUUAUUCACAUUUCCUGCUUCUUUAUUCAGGUUGUAUUGUCACUUGGAUUUUCACAAGAUGUAAGUCUGUCUUAAGUCCACACCAUCCAGAGUAAUACAAUGAUAAUUGUGCAUCUUUAAAUCUUACAAUAAGUGCAGUUAUAAAAAUGAGUAAUCGACGGUCCUUCCACUGGCAAUACAAAGAAAGGGUCUGAAUAUUUCUACUGCUGUGUGUCUGGACACCUGAAAAACCUCCCAAACAGAAUAUUAUACAUAACAUGUAAAUUCCAAAGUUAAAGAACCAGUAUUUCAGAGUAGUAGGCUCCUUAAGUACUUGAGUAAAUGUGCUCCUCUCUGUUUGCAGACAGAUGAUCUAAUAUAAACGUGUGAAGCUCAGAGGCGACAGUAAAGAUCAACAGCUGUAGGCUAGCAGUAAGGAUGAGCUCACAGUGCGUGGAUUUAACACUUAAUUAAAGAAGAUAUUUUACACAGUAGGACUCAAAAUAAAACAUUAACAACACAAGUGCAGUCUUCAAGGGUUUGAGUGUAUAUUUUUGAGUCCUUUAAAUAUUUUAUGCAUUCUACAUAUUCAUUAAGUUCCUUUUUAAAUUCAUGCAAGACUUGGUAUUUGGUACUUAAGGGUCAAAAUAAAAUACUUUCUGCACUAUAAAUCAAGCGUUCUAGGGAAGACAUCCCUAAGGCUGAAAGAAAAUCUGUAAAUGAAAUAUGUUUGAAUGAUGUCGAGGAAGAAAAUGUCUCUGUUUAAUAACAAUUCUACAACAAACAUUUUGCAUCUGAAUUCAUAAAGAAUACGCAUUAAAGAAAGACGUUGCUGCUCAGAACCUGUGAGUGUAUUUAAAUGUAACUUAUUUCACUUGAUUUGUAAGAAAAACCUUGAGAGGUUCUUAUGAACAUCUGGACGAACAAAGGUUUGCUGGAAAUGUUUUGUUUAACAAAUGUAUUCGUCUAUAUUUUCCCCCAUUUU